CGCGGCAUGGCUUCCUCACCCAGAGUGAUGGAUCCGAGAGAGAGCAGCCAAACUGAAAGCCACAGCCUUUUGUAAGCAAACCUCAGAAGUGACAUCUCGUCACAUCUGCCAUAUUCUACUGGUCGCACAGACCUAUCCUGCUACAUGGAAGGAGCAGCAGGAAGGUGGUGGGGAUUGCUGGGACCAUCUUGGAGGCUGCCACAGACAUCCAAGCCCCUCCAGGCAGGACAAACCAGGAUGAGAGGACAGUGUCGGGUGUAGCUGCCACCACCCAG
rnacentral:lncRNA from 1 species